rnacentral:rRNA from 1 species
UACGUAGGGACCAAGCGUUGUUCGGAUUUACUGGGCGUAAAGGGCUCGUAGGCGGCUCGGUAAGUCACUUGUGAAAUCUCUGAGCUUAACUCAGAACGGCCAAGUGAUACUGCAGUGCUAGAGUGUGGAAGGGGCAAUCGGAAUUCUUGGUGUAGCGGUGAAAUGCGUAGAUAUCAAGAGGAACACCUGAGGUGAAGACGGGUUGCUGGGCCAACACUGACGCUGAUGCGCGAAAGCCAGGGGAGCAAACGGG